UACGUAGGGGGCGAGCGUUGUCCGGAUUUAUUGGGCGUAAAGAGCGUGUAGGCGGCCAGGUAGGUCGGUUGUGAAAACUGGAGGCUUAACCUUCAGACGUCGACCGAAACCAUCUGGCUAGAGUCCGGAAGAGGAGAGUGGAAUUCCUGGUGUAGCGGUGAAAUGCGCAGAUAUCAGGAGGAACACCGGUGGCGAAGGCGGGUCUCUGGGCCGUAACUGACGCUGAGGAGCGAAAGCGUGGGGAGCGAACAGG
rnacentral:rRNA from 1 species